rnacentral:lncRNA from 1 species
GGGAGCGGGGGACGCCGCCAAUUAAACACUGAAUUAUAAACUAAUAAACACAAAUAAAAUCGCGAGUGAAGUGCGUUUCAGUCAAACGCAACACACCGCAGCGGCUCUCCGUGAAGGACUUCCCAAACGCCACAAGCACGCAAAACUGCUGAUACUCACCUGGAAACCGUAAAAACAGGAUAAAAACACAACAUUAGCAUCUAUGCUGUGAAGAUACUGGAACUUAAAGAGCAGCUGCCCAGCUUACGCCAGUGCUGAUUCAGGCAACUGGUCUAUUCUGAGGGAUUCCAGAACAUUUUUAAAGAUCAAUUGGUCUCUGACAAUCACUUUUAAGCAAUUUUUGAGCAACGAUCCAAGAAAAAAAUCAGAGGCCCUUGCUUUUAAAUGAACAUUGAGGCUAAGAGGCUAAGACUAAAAGACUUUCACCUUAAUAUUUGCAAAAGAUGUUUGGAUGGCUGUAGGUGCCUGCAUCACUGAAGGAACUUCUAAUACAUAAUCAAAUUCAUCAUGCGC